rnacentral:misc_RNA from 1 species
AAGUCGUAACAAGGUUUCCGUAGGUGAACCUGCGGAAGGAUCAUUAACAAUAAUAUCCUUAUUGGAUUCUACCCUUAUGUGAUAAAUAUUGGCUUAAUUAUUGGGGUUUAAAAAUGGUUCUGUAAUGGAAUCGACCCUAAAUAUACAAUAAACUCGCUUUUAAACUAUGACUGACAUAUAAUUUUUAUAAUUAUCUAAAUGAUAAUCAAUUAAAAACUUUCAACAACGGAUCUCUUGGUUCUC